UACGAAGGGGGCUAGCGUUGUUCGGAAUCACUGGGCGUAAAGGGCGCGUAGGCGGCACUGUUAGUCAGGCGUGAAAGUCCUGGGCUCAACCUGGGAACUGCGCUUGAUACGGCAGAGCUAGAGGAUGGAAGAGGCUCGCGGAAUUCCCAGUGUAGAGGUGAAAUUCGUAGAUAUUGGGAAGAACACCGGUGGCGAAGGCGGCGAGCUGGUCCAUUACUGACGCUGAGGCGCGACAGCGUGGGGAGCAAACAGG
rnacentral:rRNA from 1 species